rnacentral:rRNA from 1 species
UACGAAGGGGGGCUAGCGUUGCUCGGAAUCACUGGGCGUAAAGGGUGCGUAGGCGGGUCUUUAAGUCAGGGGUGAAAUCCUGGAGCUCAACUCCAGAACUGCCUUUGAUACUGAAGAUCUUGAGUUCGGGAGAGGUGAGUGGAACUGCGAGUGUAGAGGUGAAAUUCGUAGAUAUUCGCAAGAACACCAGUGGCGAAGGCGGCUCACUGGCCCGAUACUGACGCUGAUGCACGAAAAGCGUGGGGAGCAAACAGG